GGGUGACAGGUGGUGGCAUGGUUGUCGUCAGCUCGUGUCGUGAGAUGUUGGGUUAAGUCCCGCAACGAGUGCAACCCUCGACCUUAGUUGCCAGCAUUCAGUUGGGCACUCUAAGGUGACUGCCGGCUAAAAGUCGGAGGAAGGUGGGGGAUGACGUCAAAUCAUCAUGCCCCUUAUGACCUGGGCUACACACGUGCUACAAUGGGCGGUACAAAGGGUCGCGAACCCGCGAGGGGGAGCCAAUCCCAAAAAGCCGCUCUCAGUUCGGAUUGCAGGCUGUAACUCGCCUGCAUGAAGCCGGAAUCGCUAGUAAUCGCGGAUCAGCAUGCCGCGGUGAAUACGUUCCCGGGCCUC
rnacentral:rRNA from 1 species